rnacentral:rRNA from 1 species
GACGAACGCUGGCGGCGUGCUUAACACAUGCAAGUCGUACGGUAAGGCCCUUUCGGGGGUACACGAGUGGCGAACGGGUGAGUAACACGUGAGUAACCUGCCCACAACUUUGGGAUAACGCUAGGAAACUGGUGCUAAUACUGGAUAUGUGCUCCUGCUGCAUGGUGGGGGUUGGAAAGCUCCGGCGGUUGUGGAUGGACUCGCGGCCUAUCAGCUUGUUGGUGGGGUAGUGGCCUACCAAGGCGGCGACGGGUAGCCGGCCUGAGAGGGUGACCGGCCACAUUGGGACUGAGAUACGGCCCAGACUCCGAAGGGGGGCAGCAGUGGGGAAGAUUGCACAAUGGGCGCAAGCCUGAUGCAGAAACGCCGCGUGCGGGAUGACGGCCUUCGGGUUGUAAACCGCUUUCAGCAGGGACGAAGCUUUUUGUGACGGUACCUGCAGAAGAAGCACCGGCUAACUACGUG